rnacentral:misc_RNA from 1 species
UCAAAUUUUAAAAUGUCAAAGUCAAACUAAUUAGGCUUGAUUUGUAUUUGUCGUUGUUAUUGUAUUUUAAUUAUCAAUAAAACGCAAUAUGAGUUCGCUUCAAGAGCGUCUGCAACUCAAACGAUCGCCGGUGGACACGUGGAACAUUCGGGAACAACUGUGCCUCGCGUCCGCGGUUGUUCGCAGUGGUGAUCAAAACUGGAUGUCAGUAUCUCGGGCUCUAAAAACUGUCGGCGAACCUAAUAGACCCCCGGAUUGGUAUUCUCAGAAAAGCUGUGCCGCUCAGUAUGGAGCAUUACUUGAGCAUGUGGAGACACCCAAGCGCAAGAAGCGCAACUCAGAAGGCGGCGUGGAGACUCCUCAGGAGAGCAUCCUCAAGAGUCUCACGCAGCAAAGGAUACAGGAGAUACAGAACAAUCUGGCAGAGAUGAACGCUCAGUAUGAGCAAAUAAAGAAUGAAAUCAUCGAGAUACGGAACCCCGCUACUCCGGACGAGAAGAUCCAAGAGCUGUGGGCGGGCAUAGAGGCCGCCAAACGCGCGCGCGAGCGAGAGAGCGCCAGACGCGCCGCCUGGCUGAAGGAGAGGGAGGAGCGACGCUCGCGCAGCGAGAGACAGUGGCGCCCCACACAGACUCCUGCCCCCACUACAGGUGCACCGGUGACUCCGUCUUCUCCAUUGCUGACUUCACUGUUGAAGUCGUCUCCGGUGGUCACCACUCCGCAGCACAUACCACAUCCUGCGUCUAUAGUUGAUGCGGUGUCACCGUCUGCUGGAGCGCCCACUCUGUCCCUACUGUUGGAACAGCCACAUGCUCAGGAGAGCAAGCACGCAGCUAUAGAGCACAUCAAAAGUCAAUUAGUGCAAUUAGAACAUCAACUCAAAGCAAACUCACAGUCGCAGCCGCCAGCGCCGGCGCCCGCAGUAGACAUCGACGACAUAGAGAUCAAAGCAGAGGAUGUCUAUGCCUUCAGUGACAUAGACAUCCACAUACCGCCCGUCGCCGCCAUGCACAAACCACCGGUCAGAGUGAUAGAGAAAGCACAGCAGAAGAAAGAUAUGGAGGUAACUGUAGAAGAGCCAGAAGUAUCCGAAAUGUCUGUGGACGAUGUGAAGGAAGAAUCAGUGCAAGAAGAAACCAUAAGCGAAGGGAUAGUCGCCACUGAAGAAAUGGAAGUGGUGGAAGAAACUCCAAUACAAGAAACAGUGCUCGAAGAAACCCAACCUCAACCGGAAGUGGAACCUCAACCGGAGCCGGAAGUGAAAAUAUCUUUUCCGGAAGUCAAAUUUCCUACACUGGAAAUCAAAAUCAUACAUCCUGAAGAACAUAAGAUACAAGCGAAAGAAGAAAUAAAAGAACCGGAAGUGCCGAAAGAGGAAGAAGAGAAGGUCACAGAAGUAGCUCAAGAAGAAGAGAAGAUAGUAGAAGUAGUUCAAGAAGAAGUGAAAAAAGAAGAAAUCACGAUCCCAGAAGAUGUUAUAAAAGAAAUAGUGCCAACAGAAAAAGAGAAAUUAGAAGAGGCAACCAUGGAGAUUAUAGAGCCGCAAGUACCAGAGCCGCAAUCGCAGCCGCAGCCGCAGCCGCAACCGCAACCGCAGCCGCAACCGCAACCGCAGGUGGACGAGCAACCGCAACCAGAGGAGGUUGCCCUAACCAGUGUCAUACAAGACCCCCAGGAUAUACCUCUGCCACCAGAAAUAGAGCCAACUAUUACUGACCUUGAAGCUCUAAAAGAGAUACAACUGCCACCAAUGGCCCCAUCAGAAGAGCCCACAACCACAGAAGUACCAGCUGAAGUCACAGAAGAGAAGGCAGAAGAGCCUGCACAAGUACCCGAGAAGACAGAAGAGAUCGCAGAAGAAGAACGCGUAGAGGAUAAAUUGAUAGAGGAUUUAAAGAAAGACGAAGAUGCUGAGGACUCCAUCCCUCUGAAGGAGAUGAUGAAAGAAGAGAGCCAAGAGGAACCCAAGAUAGAGAAAGAGGGAGUAGAAGAGGACACGCACACAGAGACGGAUGAUGACACACCUAUGGAGCUGAGCAGAGAGGAAGAUAAAGAGGGGAAAAAGAGAAGAGACUACUCGAGGAAGAAGAAGUCGGAUUCUAGAACGUGCUCGGGGUCGGAGAGCGCGCCUGAGUCGCCCAGUGCUAGCUCGAGCGACGCCGAGCGGCAGCACAGGCUGUGGAAGAAGAGCGUCAUGCUGGUCUACAGCAGGCUGUGCGCGCACAAGUACGCGUCGCUGUUCCUGCGGCCCAUCACGGACGAGGAGGCGCCCGGGUACAGCGUGGUGGUGAAGCGGCCCAUGGACCUCACCACCAUACGCCGGAACAUCGACGCGGGGAACAUACGUACGACGGCGGAGUUCCAACGCGAGGUUCUGCUGAUGUUGUCCAACGCUCUGCUGUACAACUCCAGCUCGCACAGCGUGUACAUGAUGGCUAAAGAGAUGCACGAGGAGGCGCAGCUGGCGCUGGGCAUGCUGCUGGCGGCGCAGGCGCACGCCGGCCUGUGCAGCGCGCCGCCGCGCCGCAAGCGCCGCCUCGACCCGCUCGCGCACCGCCAGCGCCCCGCAUAGGGGGGUCGGGCGCACCCCGACUAAUUAUUCAACAUAGUAUUUUGGGAUAGUGAGGGGGAGGGAUUCAGGGAUUCAUUCAUUUCAACAUUGUAUUAUAAUUUAAGAUACACUAGGAGCCUACACCGCCAGCGCCUCGCCUAGGGGGACCGAUGAACUUGUACUAAUUAUUAACACGUUCGCUGCGGCACGAGGUCAAUUGACCUCGUAUGUCUAACGUGUUCAAGUUGUACGAAGUCAAUUGACCUCGUAUGUCUAACGUGUUCAAGCGGCACGAGGUCAAUUGACCUCGUACGUCUAACGUGUUCAAGUUGUACGAAGUCAAUUGACCUCGUAUGUCUAACGUGUUCAAGUGUUACGAGGUCAAUUGACCUCGUAUGUAUA